rnacentral:rRNA from 1 species
AGGCAGCAGGCGCGUAAAUUACCCAAUCCUAAUUCAGGGAGGUAGUGACAAGAAAUAACAAACCGGGUUCUUACGAACUUUGGGAUUGCAAUGAGCACAAUUUAAAUCUCUUAGCAAGGAACAAUUGGAGGGCAAGUCUGGUGCCAGCAGCCGCGGUAAUUCCAGCUCCAAUAGCGUAUAUUAAAGUUGUUGCAGUUAAAAAGCUCGUAGUUGAACUUCUGGGCGUCUGUACAGCGGCUCCGGUCGAGGUAUAGGCGUUCAUCCGUCUGAGAACCAUAUACGGCCUUUAGUGGUCGGUGUGAGGAUCAGGCACUUUACUUUGAAAAAAUUAGAGUGUUCCAGGCAGGCAAUCGCCUUGAAUACACAAGCAUGGAAUAAUGGAAUAGGACUAUGGUCCAUUUUGUUGGUUAUUGGGCUAUAGUAAUGAUUAACAGGAACGGCCGGGGUGAUUUGUAUUUAAUAGUCAGAGGUGAAAUUCUUGGAUUUAUUAAAGACAAACUAAAGCGAACGCUUUUCACAAGAGCGUUUUCAUUAAUCAAGAACGAAAGUUAGGGGAUCAAAGACGAUCAGAUACCGUCCUAGUCUUAACCAUAAACUAUUCCGACUAGGGAUUGGUCGGGUCUUUCAAGCCCGAUCAGCACCUUAUGAGAAAUCAAAGUCUUUGGGUUCCGGGGGGAGUAUGGUCGCAGG